UCGAGGAUCAUUCACAAUGGGGGAAACCCUGAUGGUGCGACGCCGCGUGGGGGAAUGAAGGUCUUCGGAUUGUAAACCCCUGUCAUGUGGGAGCAAAUUAAAAAGAUAGUACCACAAGAGGAAGAGACGGCUAACUCUGUGCCAGCAGCCGCGGUAAUACAGAGGUCUCAAGCGUUGUUCGGAAUCACUGGGCGUAAAGCGUGCGUAGGCUGUUUCGUAAGUCGUGUGUGAAAGGCGCGGGCUCAACCCGCGGACGGCACAUGAUACUGCGAGACUAGAGUAAUGGAGGGGGAACCGGAAUUCUCGGUGUAGCAGUGAAAUGCGUAGAUAUCGAGAGGAACACUCGUGGCGAAGGCGGGUUCCUGGACAUUAACUGACGCUGAGGCACGAAGGCCAGGGGAGCGAAAGGG
rnacentral:rRNA from 1 species